rnacentral:rRNA from 1 species
UACGGAGGAUCCAAGCGUUAUCCGGAUUCAUUGGGUUUAAAGGGUGCGUAGGCGGAAUGAUAAGUCAGUGGUGAAAUCUCGGAGCUUAACUCCGAAACUGCCAUUGAUACUGUCAAUCUUGAGUACAUUUGAUGUGGGCGGAAUGUGUCAUGUAGCGGUGAAAUGCUUAGAUAUGACACAAGAACACCGAUUGCGAAGGCAGCUCACAAAACUGUAACUGACGCUGAGGCACGAAAGCGUGGGUAUCAAACAGG